UGGACGAGGACGACAGCUAGACGCAAAGGGUCGUAGAUAGUGAACGUAUUCUGUAGUUCAACGGUGAAAUGUUAUGACGUGCAGCAUCUGUCUUUGUUUCAAUAACAAUCGAGUAAUUUUUCAAAAGGUUCUUAGUUAACAGAAUGUAAAAAAAGUCGCAACAUACAAAAAGUAUUUGCACUACGAUGAUUUUUUCCAAAGUAUGAUCGUGCCACAAGAAAUUAGCUUAGUUAGGUGUUCACAUUUGUUAAGUUCUGUGAAUGUUGUGCCAAUAAUGAGAUAGUGGAGUGUUGUGAUGCGGCUGUGGGACAUGUGGGGUGUGCUAUGGACCGUCGAGGCCCUGGCACAGCUCCUGGGGGUGGUGGCGACACCACUGGAUACCGCGCCACUGACUUUGCGAGGUACGUGCAUAAUUGACAAGUUACACUGGUAAGAAGAAAAUUUUCAGAUAGAAGACCUUUCUCAAGUAUCUAACCCUGUAUCCAUUUGAGCAGAGCUUGAAAUCUAAUAAUUUAUUAGGCUAGCGGCGGUUUUUAUAUUAACGUGGAGCUUAACGGAAAAAAAACUAAUAUGGUUUCGAGUUUUAGAAUAUUUCAAAUCUAACCAUAAACUAAUUUUAAAGUUUUCAAACUUUAUGAGUGUUUAUUGCAAUAAAGUAUGUAGAGUCUA